UACGGGGGGGCAAGCGUUGUUCGGAAUUACUGGGCGUAAAGGGCUCGUAGGCGGCCAACUAAGUCAGACGUGAAAUCCCUCGGCUUAACCGGGGAACUGCAUCUGAUACUGGAUGGCUUGAGUUCGGGAGAGGGAUGCGGAAUUCCAGGUGUAGCGGUGAAAUGCGUAGAUAUCUGGAGGAACACCGGUGGCGAAGGCGGCAUCCUGGACCGACACUGACGCUGAGGAGCGAAAGCCAGGGGAGCAAAC
rnacentral:rRNA from 1 species